rfam:Tuber melanosporum whole genome shotgun sequence assembly, scaffold_98, strain Mel28
UCGCAUGAUGAAAUAAUUUGCGAUUGAGUGUCUUUGUUCGCGAUUCCACGCCUGGUUUCAUUAUGCGACGUUGAUGCAACUGAUAUCUUUCUUACAUAUUCUGACU